CUUCAGACCGGAUGUUGACAUGCCAUUUAAUACACAAAUGCUAACUAUUCAAGAUAGCUGGUCUGCUCCCGCCCACCUUAUUAUCCAUAUCAUUACCAAUAUAUCCAGCCCCCUGUCAAUCAAAGUUUGAGCUUCACAAAAGACUAACUCUACAGUAUUCGAAACUUCUACAAAUAUUAUGAGUAGCUUUUAUUGUGUGGCAAAACAUCAACAGAAUAGAAGUACAAUUUAUGCAAAUUUGUCAAAAGAAUUUUUAAAAUUAUUCUUAUUACUUAUAAUAUAUUAUUUGGGACCCCCCAAACCUUUUGGCCCUGAUUGCAUACCAACUACUGCCAUUGGUCCAAAAGCGCAAGAUGGCGGAUUCUGCUCUUCUCUGCUUAGAAACUUAGACCAAUCAGAAUCCAGAUAAAGUCUUUUUAUUGCUGUAAUCAGCAACUUUAUGUCUUGAUAAUAUAGGAGAAAGUAAGUUUUUAUUUGAUGAGAUGUUCCACUAAGUCUGGCUUUCUUUAAAGCUAGAAUAGGACAAGCCUUCCUGAUAGCGUACCUCAGAAUCUGCAGAAAAGGCAAGGAAAGACAAGCACAUACCAAAGGUGUACAUUUCAUAUACAUCUUGACAACAUAUUGAGCUCAAUACAACCCAGAAAGAAUAAUUAGAAAUGAGGACUAAGAUCGUCUACAAUAAAUACACACCAUUUUUUUAUAAUCAGGUAUUUACUAAAGGGCAGAUCUGCAAAAUAAACUGGCAAGAAACAUCAUUAAAAAGUGGUGCCAAUCAGGAGUUGGCUGGCACCCUUUGUACUGGACAUUUAGCUACAAGCACAGCAUCUUCUUAAAAGAAGGAAACGCAAAUUUUUUGAAGGGCACAAAUGGCAAAAAACGGUUUCUCUGCAAUAGAGGCCUUCGGCCUUGAUGAUAAUCUUCAUCCACCUUGACCUCAACUGCCUUCACUUGUUUUGCAUUCAGUAAAGGUAUAUUCAAAUACAUUUGCAUCAUACAUAGUGACAACUAAAUGUGUAAAAAAUACAUUUUGGAGAAUAAUCAAUUGUAAGUACGAUAACUGCUUAAAAUUUUGUUGAAAAGUUACUGAGUUAAUUGUCUUUCUGUAUAUUCCAAGGGACAAACACAAUAAAUCUUUCAACUUCCAUAUGAUUUUACCAAACAUUGAACAGCAAACUUAUAAUGAUUAAAGUUUCCAUUGCAUGUACAUUUUUCCUUUUUAGGAUUGUGUUUAAUUCUGUUGAGAAAAUGGUUUAAGAAUGAAAAUAAUUUAAGCAUUUUUGUUUUUGUCCUAUAGCUCUUAAAAAUAACGAAAAAUAUACAUACAACAGAACUAAAUUCGCAAAAUAGAUACUGUUUUGAGUCAAAUUGGUUCCAAAAUGAGGAAGUUCUCGUGUAUUGGAGAAUAUUUUGAGAAAACAUCAUUUAAAAUUAGGGAAAGCGUAUUUUAAAUAUCUGCGUGUUAAAGCAAAACGCACUGUUUCUUUUUCAAUGAAACAUAACUAUGUUCUCAAAUGACUGCUUUAAACAUUUUUACCUAUUCCAGUUUCAAACUUCAGUAACAAUGAAACUGCAAAAGAUGUUCUCAUGUACCCAUUCUGUUAUUUUAUAAAAAUAAAAAAUAAAUCGAAUUUUAAAUAUUGGUUCAUAAAAAAUGGUGAACUAACACUGAUUAAUAUGUAGGUAUCUGCAAAACAAUAAUAAAAGUAAAUUCAUAAAAAUAAAUAAAUAACUU
rnacentral:misc_RNA from 1 species